rnacentral:lncRNA from 1 species
GACAUGUUUCAUCAGACAGUAUUAAAAAAAAAAACCACACUCAUUAAUCUUUAACCACAUCUCCUCAGUCUUUAAUUUCUUCAGACAACCAUGGUAUUUUUGUACGUAUCCAAGGGCUUUAGGAUUACCUCCCAGUUCCUCACGCAGAAUAUUAAAAAGCCACUUAUUUAAAGGCUGAGAUUUAAUCGAAUGAGUAAUUUCUACUGCUUCAUCUAGGACAUUCGUAAGUGAAACUGGCUCUUGUUUUUUCAACUGUGAGCGCAGGGCAGUGAAGAACAUGACGGCCACUAGAGCAGUGUGGGCUCUCUGAGCCAGCACUUCACGCGCCAUCACCUUUGCACCAUCACAGCAACUGCCGGCACGGGGAAAGGGGACCUUCUGAGAGGAGGAGAUGAGGGCAGCCCACCUUUUGGAGGAGCCGAGGCAUAAGCUGAGAUCUGAAGGCUCAGUAAGGGCCGGAGCUGGACCCCGGGCUGAAAGAAGACCAUGCACAAGGGCAUGGAGACCCACGAGCUGGGUGCUGGAACGGUACUGCAGCGGCCUGCUGUGGCUGCGGGCAUGGGGUGAGAGGCACGGCUGUAGAAGGGGGGCCGGAGCAGGCAGCCGGCAACCACUUUCACAAACAGUUCUGAGGAAGAUUCAUUUGGGG